rnacentral:lncRNA from 1 species
AGAGAGAAGGGGAGGGGUAGGAGGGGUAAAGGUUGGGUUGGGGACCACUUUUAUGAGAAAAAUGAAAGUUUAUGAUGGUUUGAUCCUCCUAAUGAAAACAGCACCCCUAAAGUUUAUGAAUACACUUUUAUGACACCAGUUUGGAUGCACAAGUUCUAAAAAUGACCUAAAAGUGAAGUCCUAAAGUUUACGAUGUGGUAUCCAAACAGGCCCUAAUCACCAGUCCCAAACACGCACAGGCAUCUCGGCACCACCGAAGCCUCGAGCCCGCCCCCCCUCCCCAACCCCCACCCGUGGCCUGCGCCGCGCCGCGGCGACCGGCCAUGUCCAUCGACUACCUCGUGCUAGGUACGCGGCGCCCGCCUCUAACACCGUUCGGGUGGAUGCAGGGGCGGGUCAGGAUGUGGGGAAGAGCUGAGUGGUGGCGACCAUCGGUGGGCGGCGCGUCAUGUUUGACUGCGGCGUGCACUUGUCCUACAAGGGCCGGCGCAGCUACCCGGAAUUCGACCGGGUCCUCGCGGCCUCCGGGGCCACCGACUUCACCACCGCCAUCUCCUGCGUCGUCAUCGCCCACUCGUGAGUGUGGCAUUUUCCUCCUCCCUCCCCUGGCGGUUUUCCGUAGGCUGCUAAGCUUCCCCUUAAUUUGCAGCCAUUUGGAUCAUAUCGGGGCGCUUCCCUACUUCACCGAGUUCUGCGGGUACCAUGGCCCCAUCUACAUGACGGUGAGCGCAGACUACUUUGUAAUCGUUGUUUGGAUUAUAGCUAGAACAAUUGUUUUGAUUUUGAUUCAAGUAAAUUGGGAUUCACCUUAGUUCAGUUUUAUUCCCCCCUUCUUUUGGUCAGCAAACUAGUCAGCUACCAAUUAAUAAUGUUGUGAGCUCACAAAAGUCACUGUUAAGUGCUUGCUGGUAAGUCCUUAUGUUAGAUGUCUUUGUUGCUUAUGAGCUGAAGACCCUGGGACAUCGUGAGUUGGUUUUGGUAGAUUUGAUGAUUUUUGUCAAAUUUCACCAAGGAAAUUAUCUUAAACUGAAGUAUCCUUCACUAUUAGCUCAUAUGCUUGGACUGGUCUCUUCUUUGGUCUCUCCUGUUCUUGUACCAAGGAUUUAUAUCUCUUCAUGAGUGAUCUUCCAUAACUUCUUUCAUGGUGCCUCUCAAACAGUACCCAACAAAGGCUUUAGCUCCAAUGAUACUGGAAGAUUUUCGGAAAGUAAUGGUUGUUCAGCAAUGGGAGGAAGGGCAAUAUAGUUAUGAGGAUAUUCUCAGGUGUAUGAAGAAAGGUAACCUUAAUUAAGGCUGGGAUUUCUAUCAUUGGUGUAGUUAAAAAGUUCUAGCAAGAAGCAGACUGUUCAAGUAUGAUAGUGCUAUUUUCCUUAUAUUUUGACCUUGCAGUUAUACCAUUGGACCUGAAGCAGACUGUUCAAGUAGAUUAGGACCUUGUGAUCCGUGCCUAUUAUGCUGGACAUGUAUGCUUCUUUAUUGUCUCAUGUUCUGUUUAUUGUACUUUAGAUUAUUUGAGUUGAAGUAUUGAUUUAGUUCUCCACUUUCUAAUCUAGUAAAACCGUCAUUCCAAAUUCAAGGUCCUAGGGGCUGUCAUGAUUUAUGCAAAAGUUGGAGAUGCUGCUAGGUCUACACUGGAGAUUACAAUAUGACAUGAGAUAGACAUCUUGGUGCAGCGCAAAUUGAUCGUCUAAAAUUGGAUCUUUUGAUAACAGAGUAUAGUCCAAACUCCAAUUAUUAGCAUAUUUCCUAUUUGAUUGUUGCCUGAUUUUUGAUUAAGUAUUGUGAAUCAUGCUGCAAUUUCUUAUACGUUAGCACUACAUUAGAGUAUGUUUGUUCUUUUUUUAAAAAAAAAUCAUUAUGUGGUUGCCUUGUUGAUAUCAGAUCACAGGAACAGGUUUCCAGAUCGGUACCCAUCUGUGGACCAUUGUCCCUGUUGCUAGCUAAAUUGUUCACCUGAAAAUCAUUUGGAAUAUAGCUGUAAUAACUAUAUUUAUUACUUAUUACGUUGUUGAAUUCAGUUUCUGGUGUUAAAACGAUGAUUUGCAUUUGUUUUAUGGUACAACACGUGUGGUUUCUCAAUGUUUUUAAUCAUGUUAAUGAGAUUAAGAGCACAAUGGUGUGGAUUCUUUUUUUUUUCUAUGUAUACUAUUAAGUAUAUAGUUGUUUUUUUUCUUUCUUCACUUCUGCAGAUCCACAUAUGCUGAAACUACACGUGAUUCAAGGCGUGCUCGAGAGAGUGAAUUCUUACAAGCGGUAUGUAAACGGCAAACCUGACUUUCCAUUAUGCCGAUACACUUGGUUUUGUAGAUUUAGUUGCAUUUAUUAUUUUAACUGUUGUGUAGAUUUUGUAUUUGCAUGCUUAAUUACUUUUCUUCUAGCACAAUACCAUCCAAGAAGUUAAUUUUCACCAAAUUAAGUGCAAUUUGUAAUUUGUCAUAGGAUACAUCUUUGUUUUUAUCUGACACCUUAGACCACAAAAUAUUCAUCUUGACUGUACUAUACAGUUAUUCUGUGAAUCUGCGCAUCAUGCUUUUUUUGGAGGAAGUUGAGAGGGGUGAACCCUACCUAUUUUCAUUAAAACACAUACAUAGAAUUUGUCUACACUACUUUACUUCCAUCCCUUAACUAUGUAUUUUCUAUAGGUCCAUAAAUGUGUUUCUGGAGGCGGUAAAGUUCUAAUUCCAUUAUUUUCUGUGGGAAGAGCUCAGGUACUCUAGUUAUCUCUAUAAUUUGAGGGAUAUAAAGUGAUGAUGAACUAUUAUCACUGUUUCACUUAUUGAUCAAGUCCCUUCUAACAAUACUGUCACCUGGGGCACACUGUUUUGAAUUUUCUUAAAUAGAGUAUCCAUUUAGGAUUGACACAGUCCUAUUAUGUAUCUCAGGAGCUAUGCAUGUUACUCUAUGACUAUUGGGAGAGAAUGAACUGGAAGAUUCCUAUGUAUGUCAACUUUUGUUAAAUUUUAACUUGAUUUUAUGUAUUUUCUGCUUUGAUGACGUCAUGUUUGUCCUGUAGGUUUAACCGUACAAUCUAACGUGUACUACAAGAUGCUUAUUGGAUGGACUAGUCAGAAGAUCAAAGACAGCUACAGAGUGCAUAACCCCUUUGACUUCAAGCAUGGUAUGAACUAUGGUUCAGGUCUUUAAAAGCUAUACUCUGUUCAAUCCUAUGCAGACUAAAGAGGAGAAAGAAAAUUCAAACAGUUAGACCUGUGUGCUUUUACUCAUUUUUGUUUUUUUAAGGAUGGAUAUUUAGUUUACCAUGGUGGCAACCUUAGUUUAAUCAUGAGACAUUCAAUGUUUCAUUUAAUCUUAAAAACUCGACCGGCGAGGGAAUGUUUCAUUUAAUCUUACAUAGUUAUAUCAGAAUAACAUUAUUUUUUUUCCCACAUUGCAGUUUGUCACUUUGAGCGUUCCUUCACUGACAACCCUGGUCCAUGUGUACUUUUUGCAACUCCUGGUAUGAUCAGUACCGGUGGUGGAUUUUCUCAUGAGGUGUUUAAAAAAUGGGCGCUGUCAGAAAAAAAUCUGGUUACACUUGCAGGGUAUAUCCCUUAGCUUUCUUAUUUCUUCCAUAUUUUUCUGAUUUUAUUAGAAACUAUAUCUUUUUCUCAUAAAAUCGUUCUCGUUCAUGCUGAUGAACUGUAUCCAACAUGUUGUGCUAACUAUAUUAUGUUCUGAUGCCACCUUUUUUUUCCUGAUGGAGGUAUUGUGCUCCCAGAAGCAUUGGUCAUAAGUUGAUGUCUGGCAAACCUGAAAAGAUUGAUUUAGAGGACACCCAUAUUGAUGUCAGAUGUCAGGUUGCUCUUCAAUUCAGUUUAUACUUUUUGAAAUAUUGUAAAUUUUUUAAAUAAUAAUGAAGGAGGGGGUAAAAAAGGCCAAUGCACUUUGUCUAAACGAGCGAUUUUCUCAUUCGAUGGUAAUGUUUUGUUAGCCAGGGAAAAACUUACCCAUUCACUAUAUCAUUUCAGAUGUUCAACAUAAUUGCUCUAUAGAGGACAGACAUAGUCAAAGGCUUGGGCUUUUUGCGGAAGUUCAUUGGCAUCUGUUGUUUCUCACAUGCAUGUUACUGUCCCAUUAAUAUCCAUUUAUCUUAUCUGAUUCUCUGAAUUAUUUGAAUUUGGGUAGCCAACUUCUCCAUCUAUUUUCACUUCUCGUAUGCUAUCACUUGACACUGCGUUCUUUUCCUUUGCAUGCCAGGUCCAUCAACUAGCAUUCAGUCCGCACACUGACUCCAUAGGGAUCAUGGACCUUAUAGAGUUCCUUUCACCCAAACAUGUAAUUCUCGUUCAUGGUGAAAAGCCUUUGAUGGCUUUCCUGAAGGAGAGGGUCGAAUCUGAAUUGGGGAUGCCAUGCUAUUACCCAGCUAACAACGAGGCCGUCUCCAUUCUGACAACCCAGAACCACAAAAUUAGUGCCACAGAAAGGUUCAUUACAAGCUGUGCUGGUGAGCAAACUGAAGACAAUCUGCGAAAGCGGAAGCUAAUUUGUGGAAGCAAUAUUUCAGAUGCCAAUGGCGAUCGAAAGCUAGCUGAGGGUAUCCUUCUGAUGGAGAAGAACAAGGCUUCGAAAAUUCUGUGCGAGGACGAGCUUGUUCAGGUGCUGGGCAUGGAGCAGCACAUUGUCCAGUAUGAACCAAUGGUCUCCUCCAGAAUUGCAGCAGCUGGCGAGUUGGAAUUGCAGCAGCUAGCAGGCCGAGGCCAGGGAAUGCAGCCGAUUUAGGGUGGGAAGGAAAAUGAAUGAAAUUGUACAUGCUGAGAUUCUGGCCGUGCUUCCUUUUCUUUUCUGCAAAUGAUUAGACCGUUGUACAGAGCUAUAGAUUCUGUAAGACAAAUGCGUAUAUUACCCUGACAAUUCAAUGGUUAGAUUAAAAGUUUAAAUGUGACCUCUUGUUGCUUGACCCACCUUGUUCAUGCAUGAGGUAUAUUGGUAUAAUAAUGAUGGAUGAGAUAUAAUGAUGGCGCGAGGGGUUGGAGGAAAAUGGGUACUAGUUCUUCGUUUCUUCGUUUUAAACUGCCGUAGGUUUGCAAGGCCAACUCACUGCAGGAAAAACAAAUCAGAAGUGCCGAGCAAAAACGCAGGACACAAGGAGUGGUCACAGGGUGGACAUUGGUUGGGAUGAGGUAAUACCCGUCCAGCAACAUAAAAGUAACAACACUUGCCCGGAGCUCAGUACCUCCCAAACAAUGAGUCAAUGACACAACCCAAAUAUGAUUCGCAAACAACCUGAAGCCCGCACGCUAGAAUUUUAGUGAGGUGACUUAAUCAAUGGUUUACUAAUCAUGUCUUCGAUCUUGAGGCUCUCAGGUGGUGACAACCCAAACAACACAAAUACGAUUGAGUAUUUGGGUGGUUGCCUGGUUGGUCAGAGUGAUUCAAUGCAGGGAGUAGGAAAACAUUUGCAAAAGCUCACUACAUACACUUGCAACAAAGAAACUGUAAUGCAAAUAUACCUCUCAACCUGUAAUAGUAACAUGGGGAUGACGCUACAAACAAAUGCAUUUCAUCCAAAGAUAAACAUGCACAUUACUCCCUCUGAUCACAAUCAGCAAACAAAACAAAAUCAACAAAAUCAUGCUAUUCUACUCAGUACACUGAUCUCUUGCCACACAGCAGACGCGGUAAUGUCACAUCAUAUGAUAUAUCCCGCUGCACAUUGUACUGCUACUGCUGUCUGGUGUACUGCUACCCACCGCCCCAGC